CGCGGCCUAUCAGCUUGUUGGUGUGGUAACGGCGCACCAAGGCAACGAUGGGUAGCUGGUCUGAGAGGAUGGUCAGCCACAUUGGGACUGAGACACUGCCCAAACUCCUACGGGAGGCUGCAGUCGAGAAUAUUUCGCAAUGGGGGAAACCCUGACGAUGCGACGCCGCGUGGGGGAUGAAGGCCUUCGGGUCGUAAACCUCUGUGUUACGGGAUGAAUCGAGCGUUGCUGAUAACGCAGCGUUUUUGACGUUACCGUAGUAGAAAGCCCCAGCUAACUACGUGCCAGCAGCUGCGGUAAUACGUAGGGGGCAAGCGUUGUCCGGAAUCACUGGGCGUAAAGCGCGCGCAGGCGGUAGGGUAAGUCAGACGUGAAAGGGUUCGGCUCAACCGAGCCAUUGCGUUUGAUACUGCUUUACUUGAGUCUAGAAGAGGAAAGUGGAAUGUGUGGUGUAGCGGUGGAAUGCUUAGAUAUCAUAUAGAACACCCGUGGCGAAGGCGGCUUUCUGGUCUAAGACUGACGCUCAUGCGCGAAAGUUUGGGGAGCAACCGGGAUUAGAUACCCCGCUAGUCCUUACUGUAAACGAUGGGUACUAAGUGUAGGGGGUGUUGAUUCCCUCUGUGCUGUAGCUAACGCAUUAAGUACCCCGCCUGGGGAGUACGG
rnacentral:rRNA from 1 species